GACGAACGCUGGCGACGCGCUUAACACAUGCAAGUCGAACGGAAAGGCCUGCUUUCCCUUGUGGAUUGCGGGUACUCGAGUGGCGAACGGGUGAGUAACACGUGAGUGAUCUGCCCCCAACUUGGGUAUAAGCCUGGGAAACUGGGUCUAAUUCCCGAUAGGACUGCAGGGUGGUGCCUGUGGUGGAAAACGAUUUUCUAGUGGUUGGGGAUGAGCUCGCGGCCUAUCAGCUUGUUGGUGGGGUAAUGGCCUACCAAGGCGGCGACGGGUAGCCGGCCUGGGAGGGUGGACGGCGACAUUGGGACUGAGAUACGGCCCAGACUCCUACGGGAGGCAGCAGUGGGGAAUAUUGCACAAUGGGCGGAAGCCUGAUGCAGCGACGCCGCGUGGGGGAUGACGGCCUUCGGGUUGUAAACUCCUUUCGACCGCGAGGAAGCCACCUGGUUGGAAGGGUGGUGACGGUAGUGGGAGAAGAAGCACCGGCUAACUACGUG
rnacentral:rRNA from 1 species